rnacentral:rRNA from 1 species
GACGAACGCUGGCGGCGUGCUUAACACAUGCAAGUCGAACGGAAAGGCCCUGCUCUUGUGGGGUGCUCGAGUGCCGCACGGGUGAGUAACACGUGUGUAACCUGCCCUUGUCUUUGGGAUAUCUUCAGGAAACUGGGGCUAAUACCGGAUAGGAGCUCCUGCUCCAUGGUGGGGGUUGGAAAGUUUCGGCGGUUGGGGCUGGACUCGCGGCUUAUCGGCUUGUUUGUGAAGUAGUGGUUUCCCAAGGCUUUGACGGGUAGCCGGCCUGAGAGGGUAGCCGGCGACAUUGGGACUGAGAGAGGGACCAGACUGGAACGGGAGGCAACAGGGGAGAAUAUGACAGAAUAGGCGGAAGCGUGAUGCAGCAAUGCCGGGUGCGGGAUGACGGGUUUCGGGGGAAGAACAGAUGUGGCAGGUGACGAGGAGAGAGUGACGGUAAUGGGUAAAGAAGCACCGGCUAACUACGUG